AGUUCGAUCAUGGCUCAGAUUGAACGCUGGCGGAUCUUUUACACAUGCAAGUCGAACGGCGGCACGGUGGACUUCCGGUCUGGUGGCGAGUGGCGAACGGGUAGGCGACGUCGGACGUGCCUAAUAGCGGGGGAUAACUGCGAAAGCGUAGCUAAUGCCACAUACGCCCUUCAGGGGAAAGCAGGGGACCUUCGGGCCUCGCACUAUUAGAGCGGCCGAUAUCGGAUUAGCUAGUUGGUGGAGGUAACGGCUCGCAAGGCGACGAUCCGUAGCUGGUUUGAGAGGACGACCAGCCGCUCAUGGGACUGAGACACGGCCCAGACUCCUGAAACAGCAGUGGGGAAUUUUGGACAAUGGGGAAACCUGAUCCAGCCAUCCCGCGUGUGCGAUGAAGGCCUUCGGGUUACAGCAAACACUUUUGGCAGGAAAGAAACGGCACGGGAUAAUACCCGUGCAACUGACGGCUACCUGCAGAAUAAGCACCGGCUAACUACAUACGUGCCUUAGCCGCGGUAAUGCGUAGGGUGCGAGCGUUAAUCGGAAUUACUGGGCGUAAAGCGUGCGCGGGCGGUUCCGGAAGAAAGAUGUGAAAUCCCCAGAGCUUAACUUUGGAACUGCAUUUUUAACUACCGAGCUAGAGUGUGUCAGAGGGAGGUGGAAUUCCGCGUGUAGCAGUGAAAUGCGUAGAUGUAGGAGGAACACCGAUGGCGAAGGCGACCUCGUGGGAUAACACUGACGCUCUCAUGCACGAAAGCGUGGGAGCAAACAGGAUUAGAUACCCUGGUAGUCCGCCCUAAACGAUGUCAACUAUGGCUUGGGGCCUUCGGGCUGUGGUAGCGCAACUAACAUUGAGAUUGUUGACCGCCUGGGGAAUUACGGUCGCAAGAUUAAAACUCAAAAUUGACGGGGACACUGGCGGUGGAUGAUGUGGAUUAAUUCGAUGCAACGCGAAAAACCUUACCUACCCUUGACAUGUGGAAUCCCGAAGAGAUUUGGGAGUGCUCAUGAAGGCGGAACACAGGUGCUGCAUGGCUGUCGUCAGCUCGUGUCGUGAGAUGUUGGGUUAAGUCCCGCAACGAGCGCAACCCUUGUCAUUAGUUGCUACGAAAGGGCACUCUAAUGAGACUGCCGGUGACAAACCGGAGGAAGAUUAGGGAUUGACGUCAAGUCACCCAUGGCCCAUAUGGGUAGGGCUACGUCAUACAAUGGUCAGGACAGAGGGUCGCCAACCCGCGAGGGGGAGCCAAUCCCAGAAACCCGAUCGUAGUCGGAUCGCAGUCUGCAACUCGACUGCGUGAAGUCGGAAUCGCUAGUAAUCCUUUGAAUCAGCAUGUCGCGAGUGAAUACGUUCCCGGGUCUUGUACACACCGCCCGUCACACCAUGGGAGUGGGUUUUGCAGAGUAGUUAGCUAACCGUAAGGAGGGCGAUUGCACAGUAGGAUUCAUGACUGGGGUGGAAGUCGUAACCCAAGGUAG
rnacentral:rRNA from 1 species